GAGUAACGCGUGAGCAACCUGUCCUCACAGGGGAUAACACAGCGAAAGUUGACUAAUACCGCAUAAGACCACAGUGAGACAUCUCAGAGGGGUCAAAGGAGCAAUCCGGUGAAGGGUGGGCUCGCGUCCGAUUAGAUAGUUGGUGAGGUAAACGGCCCACCAAGUCGACGAUCGGUAGCCGACCUGAGAGGGUGAUCGGCCACAUUGGGACUGAGACACGGCCCAAACUCCUACGGGAGGCAGCAGUGGGGAAUAUUGGACAAUGGGGGCAACCCUGAUCCAAGCGACGCCGCGUGAACGAAGAAGUAUCUCGGUAUGUAAAGUUCUAUCAGCAGGGAAGAUAAUGACGGUACCUGACUAAGAAGCACCGGCUAAAUACGUGCCAGCAGCCGC
rnacentral:rRNA from 1 species